CUACGGGAGGCUCCAGUGGGGAAUAUUGCACAAUGGGGGAAACCCUGAUGCAGCAACGCCGCGUGGAGGAUGACACAUUUCGGUGCGUAAACUCCUUUUAUAUAAGAAGAUAAUGACGGUAUUAUAUGAAUAAGCACCGGCUAACUCCGUGCCAGCAGCCGCGGUAAUACGGAGGGUGCAAGCGUUAUUCGGAAUCACUGGGCGUAAAGGGUGCGUAGGCGGUUUGGAAAGUCAGGUGUGAAAGCCCGGGGCUCAACUCCGGAACUGCACUUGAAACUUCCAGACUAGAAUACUGAAGGGGCGGAUGGAAUUAGUGGUGUAGGGGUAAAAUCCGUAGAUAUCACUAGGAAUACCGAAAGCGAAAGCGAUCUGCUGGGAAGUUAUUGACGCUGAGGCACGAAAGCGUGGGGAGCAAACAGGAUUAGAUACCCGUGUAGUC
rnacentral:rRNA from 1 species